GUAUAUACACGCUGUCUUUAAGUGUCUACAACCUACAGCUUGGGUAUAUACACGCCAACUUUAAUAGUCUAACCGACGAAGUUGCUGUGAACUGCCCAGGAGUCACAAAAGGAUGAGUCACAAGUUUUGAAAGGUGGACGGUCGAUACGGCGCUUCUUAUUACGCUCGAUGCUGGCACAGCUGUGCAUUUGAAAGAAAGAAAAACAUUUUUUUUUUCAUUUUGAAUUUUAUAUCAAAUCCAAUCACAUUGGUGUAAGCAUAUAAAUGGAAGGAUUUUUUUUUUUAAGUUUGCUUCUUUAUCUACACGAAUCGCAUAAGUAACUGGUUGAUGAGGGAACGAAGUCACACCCGCUAACACAUCGUCACUGUUAAAUGCAUGAGGCAUGAAGCCAUCAUACGAAAGUUCACACACACACGCACACAGUGCUGACUUUGUGCUCGUGAAGUAAUAAUAUAAUAAUCACAACUUAUAACACGCAGCAUCACGACCAAGACAGAUUGUCUUUGAGAAAUUUGGCAGAAGAACAAGAUGCGACAUAGCCGAGAGCUCCAUAUAUAGUUGACUUCACAUUGCCUCCAAAGACAAGCAGUCUAUUAAAGAUGGUCCUUGGUUCGGUUCUUGACUCACCUUAUUUAUUUAUUGUACUGUCUUGACGAACGUAAGCAAAGGAUACUUAAUGGAGAGGUAACAAGUAUCAUAAAAGCUAGUUUGUAAUCUCUGCUUUCAGUGUGCGGAGUUGUUUAUCCCUUCAUGAACAGCGCAGAAAGAUUUCAGCCAAUCAAAUUAUGGAAACACGCAGAACAAUAGCACGUGGAGUUCAAUAAGAUGUUUGUUGAGCUUUGGUGAUGUUUCCAUACUACAUUGAGAGCAACCUCCAGCACAUCGAAUAAAACUUGCCAGACGACCAGCAGAAUAACAGGACCGGUAAUGUGGCAAUGGUUGACUAUGGAGGCGAGCCACCCAUUCAUAAACAGUUAAUUUACGACCGGACUGUCACAAGCUACUGCGACUCCUCGUUGAGAUGUCGGCCUCGGGAAAAGAAUGACAACAAUGAUCGACAAAAACGACCUCCUCGCUGCCUUCCACGAUGAGAUGAGAUGUGACAGUUAAAAGUCCACCGUGCGGUCGGAGGAGCUGGUGAAGGGGAGGGUGCAGACGUUGUCGCCAGAACGUGGUCGCCAUGCAAAGAAA